GGAAUUUUGGACAAUGGGCGAAAGCCUGAUCCAGCAAUGCCGCGUGAGUGAAGAAGGCCUUCGGGUUGUAAAGCUCUUUUGUCAGGGAAGAAACGGUGAAAGCUAAUAUCUUUUGCUAAUGACGGUACCUGAAGAAUAAGCACCGGCUAACUACGUGCCAGCAGCCGCGGUAAUACGUAGGGUGCAAGCGUUAAUCGGAAUUACUGGGCGUAAAGCGUGCGCAGGCGGUUUUGUAAGUCUGAUGUGAAAUCCCCGGGCUCAACCUGGGAAUUGCAUUGGAGACUGCAAGGCUAGAAUCUGGCAGAGGGGGGUAGAAUUCCACGUGUAGCAGUGAAAUGCGUAGAUAUGUGGAGGAACACCGAUGGCGAAGGCAGCCCCCUGGGUCAAGAUUGACGCUCAUGCACGAAAGCGUGGGGAGCAAACAGGAUUAGAUACCCGAG
rnacentral:rRNA from 1 species